rnacentral:lncRNA from 1 species
UGAAGGAUUCUUUAUCAUUGUGAGAGAGGGCAAAUUUGGGAAUUUUUGCAUUUAACUCUAUAAAAAUGGCCAGAGUCUUUAGUAAAAAAUUACACAAAAGGAUCUCAAUGAGUUUUAUGAGGUGUCAAAGGUUGAUCCUGAUCCAGACAAAAUUCCGGAUACUGUGAUCCAGAACACACAAAAAUAAGGGUGUCAUUGGAAUUUUCAAUGCUGAAAGAUAACCAAUGGGCGGCACAGUGGUGUAGAUGGGUGGCACAGUGGUGUAGUAGUUAGCACUGUCGCCUCACAACCAGAAGGUCAUGGGUUCGAAUCCGGGUCAGGGCAUUUCUUGUUUUAGGAACAUUAUGAACAGUGAACAUACCAGUUUAAACACAAAUAAACGUUAAUAAAAGACACGUAACAGUAAAAGUUUUGGUGUGAAUCACAAUUUAAGGGGGGACAUGACCUGCUUGGCGGAGGUCUGCGCUCUCCGAGUGCUUUUCUAGUUAUCUGAUUAUUUUUUGCUUAAAAACGACUGAAAUGACUGAUUAUCAAACUGCUGCAAAACUUAAUUCUAACUGACUGUGAAGGUAAUCCUAUUCUUGCAAUAUUUCCAGGAUGGCAAAGUCCCUAAUUUUACGGGUCAAACAAGUUGCUUAUUAAGCAAAACAGAAGACAUACAAUCAGUGUUGGGGGUAACCAUAGACUGUACACUCACCGGCCACUUUAUUAGGUACACCAUGCUAGUAACGGGUUAGACCCCCUUUUGCCUUCAGAACUGCCUCAAUUCUUCGUGGCAUAGAUUCAACAAGGUGCUGGAAGCAUUCCUCAGAGAGCUUGGUCCAUAUUGACAUGAUGGCAUCACACAGUUGCCGCAGAUUUGUCGGCUGCACAUCCAUGAUGCGAAUCUCCCGUUCCACCACAUCCCAAAGAUGCUCUAUUGGAUUGAGAUCUGGUGACUGUGGAGGCCAUUUGAGUACAGUGAACUCAUUGUCAUGUUCAAGAAACCAGUCUGAGAUGAUUCCAGCUUUAUGACAUGACGCAUUACCCUGCUGAAAGUAGCCAUCAGAAGUUGGGUACAUUGUGGUCAUAAAGGGAUGGACAUGGUCAGCAACAAUACUCAGGUAGGCUGUGGCGUUGCAACGAUGCUCAAUUGGUACCAAGGUGCCCAAAGAGUGCCAAGAAAAUAUUCCCCACACCAUGACACCACCACCACCAGCCUGAACCGUUGAUACAAGGCAGGAUGGAUCCAUGCUUUCAUGUUGUUGACGCCAAAUUCUGACCCUACCAUCCGAAUGUCGCAGCAGAAAUUGAGACUCAUCAGACCAGGCAACGUUUUUCCAAUCUUCUAUUGUCCAAUUUCGAUGAGCUUGUGCAAAUUGUAGCCUCAGUUUCCUGUUCUUAGCUGAAAGGAGUGGCACCCGGCGUGGUCUUCUGCUGCUGUAGCCCAUCUGCCUCAAAGUUCGACGUACUGUGCGUUCAGAGAUGCUCUUCUGCCUACCUUGGUUGUAACGGGUGGUUAUUUGAGUCACUGUUGCCUUUCUAUCAGCUCGAACCAGUCUGGCCAUUCUCCUCUGACCUCUGGCAUCAACAAGGCAUUUCCGCCCACAGAACUGCCACUCACUGGAUAUUUUUUCUUUUUCGGACCAUUCUCUGUAAACCCUAGAGAUGGUUGUGCGUGAAAAUCCCAGUAGAUCAGCAGUUUCUGAAAUACUCAGACCAGCCCUUCUGGCACCAACAACCAUGCCACGUUCAAAGUCAAUCAAAUCACCUUUCUUCCCCAUACUGAUGCUCGGUUUGAACUGCAGGAGAUUGUCUUGACCAUGUCUACAUGCCUAAAUGCACUAAGUUGCCGCCAUGUGAUUGGCUGAUUAGAAAUUAAGUGUUAACGAGCAGUUGGACAGGUGUACCUAAUAAAGUGGCCGGUGAGUGUAUAUACUAUGGACAACUUGCUCCCGCCUUCUGCUAGGAUAUGGAUUUAAAGGCAAAAAGCUCUAAGUAUUUCCAGGUUUUUUCUCCACUUCCUGAAACCAACAUUGCGCAGUAGUGUUGUACACACUUGGCUGGAGAGUCGCAGAGAGUCGUUGUGAUGACGCUCUGCUCAAACAGCGCAUCCUCCGGGUGAGCUACGCAAUCUUCGUAUGCCCAUAGGCUGUAAUCAAGUGUCAAUCAUAGAAAACAUGAACACCCGCUGCACAGAAAAAAGAGGACUUGAGCACAAACCAGUCUUACAGUAACUACAUGUCAACAUCACAAGCAGGGGGAGAAAAAUCUAUAUCCUGUGUAACUAAUUUCUAAAGUUUGUCCACAGCUUCAUAGGGAUUGCUGGAGGAGGAGGGAUUUAUGACCUAGACUGCAGCCUGUCACCAGAGGGUGCUGUUUUUACUGUGGCUUCACCCAGCAAGGAGGCAGACGGCGUUCAUUCUAUAUACAGUUGAUGGGGGCAACACACUACAAAGUAAGUGAUUACAGUUAGAAUAGCACUUUUUGGGGGGAACGAAGUUAAGUAACACACUACACUAACAAAUCUGUAACUUAAUUACUUUACUAUACAAUAGGAAUGCGCCUUUCUGCGUUACAUUAGCUGUGUCUCCCUGUGUGCAAAGUUCUGAUCUGUUGAGGUGGUUCAUGUUUGUGUGCUACAUGUGUGUCUGUGAUAAUAGGCAGGGGUUUGGUGCUCAUAAGGAUUAAUCUUUAGCUUGUCUCUGUACGCUCUUCUUUCACAGGAUUAAUUUUUCUUGGGUGUUUUUUUUCUCACUGUGUCGCUAUUUCGCAGCCUCCCUGUCGAAUGUAAACAAAAAGUUGCCUGCAAAGAUGCCACUUUCCGACCCAACAUACAUUACGCAGUCAUGUGGCCUUUGAAAGUCCGAUGCAGAGAUGGAUUUGAGUGACAUAGCUGCUACUUACUUUGGCUAUAUUAGUCAAAAGGACACAAAUAUUCGUGUGAAAUUAAGUCUAUGCUCAGGCGACAUUUAUACAGUAAACAAAAUUAUGUGGACUAUGCUCAGUGAUGAUUGGGCUAUGAUGUUUGUCCAUGUACCUCUACAGGAAAUAAAGAAAUGGGGAAGUAAAGUAAUAAGCAGUGAAGUUACUUUCCGAAUGCAGUAUCUUAUUACGAUUAACUAAUUAAUGAGUAACUAGUUACUGGUGACAGACUUUUUGUGAGUAACUACGCCAACACUGCAUACAAUAUAGCACAGGUGUAACAGGACCUCAACAGUCAGCUAGAAUAAUUAAACACACAACGACUGAAAUUGGAGAGGCGAAAAAUUAACAUAAAUAGCAUUUCUGAAAAACACAGGAUGCUCUCUGUCUUCCAUGUCUCUUUCUUGAUAUCUGGUGCAGUUAAUAAUGAUAUGUUCACCUGUUUGCAUCCCACACAUGGAGGAAAUCUAGGCCAGCCAAGCCAACCAGUUAAGCAAUUGUCUUUUUUCUUGCUUUUUUCUGAUAUUAUCUUGAAUAAAUAAUUAAAGCGAUGAACUCUUACUUUCCUUCCCUUGCAACUUGUUUAUGUGUAAUAAGCAAGCUGUAGACUAGAAGUCUGAGCCUUUUCAGAGGAUGCAGAUCAAGCCAGCACUUUAAUACUCCAUCAGUGGCGGCUGCUGGUCUUUCAAGGAGGGGAAGCUAAUUUUUUUUCUGGCCUACAUCAUAAAUGUGUUUGUUUAUUUAUAUGUAAAUUCUACCCUCUGUUCCUUUUCAACAAAAUGAUCUGUGACCCUGUUGUGGCAGAGGAGGGUCGCCAAACACAACACUAGUCGUUUUUAACAAAGACAAAGUCGCUAGAGCUCAGUAAAGUCUCUGAAUCAGUUUGGAACAACAGAAUGAAAAAAUUGGAAAAUGCUCCAGUGGAUGUUUAUACUGAUUCGCUAAUUUAGCUGUCAAUCAAAAAGGGAUUGCGUCUCAGACGGACCAGCCCAUUGACCCAUAGACCCCCAGAGAUGCUGCGCGUUCUUGGGCGGGACAAACCCAAGCAUUUAUCCAAUGACUGUCCAGUUUCAUGUAAUGGAAAAACGCACUCUACGGUUCCCCAUUGAAGUCAGUAGACACCCAGCAUCAGACUGUGUAAAGCACUGUGGCGCUGCAGGAAUGAAUGAGAAGGAAGUAGUGUCGGUUUUCUGUGAUAAUUAGCUGAUUCUGAACAAAAUGCGUUCUGGCGCAUAGUUCCUUUUAGAAAGAGUGCCUUUAGUCAAGCCACUUUUUCUGUUCGUGCUUCUCACACCUGGAAUUCAAUACCAAACACAAUACGUGAACUCCCGACUCUGACCUCUUUUACCAAACAUCCUAAAGCUUGGCUAUUGGAAGAACAACACUGUUGCCACAACCGUGCCUGAACAUGUAUAUUUGUUUAAUGCUAGCUAAUUGUUGGGGUACCAUCCGCAAUUUCUACAGAGUACAUACAUAAACAUCACUGCUUUAUUAUUAUUCAUUAUUACUACUACUCCCUCUCCCCCAUUAAUAUUUUUACUAUUUAUUAUAUCUUUAUUUACUUUUUAGGCAUUAGGACCACAUGCAAGGCAUGCACUUUAUACUCUGAGUAUUGUGCAUUUAAAAUAGCACUUUACAUUUACUGUGCAAUCGGGCAAUCUGCAAUAUAACUACGCACCUAACACUUUAGCACUUCAGCACUCUGCACUUUAAUCAGCCCUUUGACAACUCAUUUUAGCAUUUAACGCUAGUGAAGUACAUAUGGUCCCCUGACCCUUGGCCUGUAUGUUUCAUGAUCCACUAUCCUUUCAUUGUUCUUGCUUUUAUUUUUCAUUUUCUGUCCUAUUGUGUUUUCAAAGACACGUUUUCCCUCUCUGUAAUUAUUCCCCCUGCUCAUACUGGCCAUGAAGGCUAACUGUUCUACUUGUUGUUACUGUAGUUUUAUUGAUUUUAUUAUCUUAUGUUGUCAACAUCAACCUGCUGAAGGGAUCUAAAGAUGGAAAUUAGCCGUUGGCUAUAAUCUUGCAUAUUAACAUGUAUAUGUUUAUUAAUAUGUGUUGUCCCUGGUUUAAAUAAAUAAACUAAAACUAAACUAUUUAGUCAAUGAAAUGUACACACAGCAGUACAUAUUCCACCACUUUUUUUACAUUUCAGGGAAAGCUGAGCUUCCCUUGCAGUCUGAGAGCAAUCACCACUGUACUACAUUUACCUGUUUUUAUUUACUCCUGUAGCGUUAUCAGGCUGAAGUACUGUACCAUUUCUGACCUGGGAAUAGUCAGAGAUUUAAUGUAGUAAAAGUGAUCAGGUGGAUUUAAAAAUCACUACAAAGUAUAAGGCAGCCAGUGUAAGUUGGUUGAGACAGGAGUAGUUUGAUCAUGUGUCUCAGUGUUCAUCAUUCUUAAGGAAGACUGAACUGGUAAAAUCCAAAGAGACCAAAAAACUUGGGCAGUCAACAGCUAGCUGUAGGCUGUGUGAUAGAGCUAUGAUGCCAGCUGUCACUCCCUUUAGGAUUAAGAGGUUAUUUAAUGUGAGGCACAGUCUCAUCUCCGCCAGUCGUCUUUGAACUAUUAUCAAAGACACAUAAGGAGAGAACAUUUGAGGCUGUUUUUCUUCUACAUAACGGGGUUGUGGGUGUUAGCACAUACACAGUAAUUUGUAGAAUAACUUACACCAGGCCUGUGUACUGCAUCCAAUCAGGACAUGCUUUUCUCUCCAAGCUCCAUCUGUCGCUGAGGCAUGCCACUGUGUGCAUGACCCCAGCUAUGUGGGUGAGCUUUGGUGAGACUGUUAAGAGUUCUGAGGCCCAAAGCAGGAGAGAUAGGAGGAGUUGAAGACCUUGGCACGAGAACCUUUGUGGCUGACGGAGAGGGAAGAGUAACAGAUGCUUGGGUAAUCUUCAUGUAAUCUUCAAUAACACCCCUUAAAUUAUACAAAUAGUUUACUUUUUAAAUACAGCACAAGAGAGAAAUAUUGAGGAAAAGUACUGCAUGAUAUUUUUAUGCAGUGUAGAAUAAUUUAAGUAAAGUCAUGAUGCGGCUAAUUUGGUUGUGACUUUAGGUCAGAACGCUAGUUUUGUAUGUUCAUGUUAUUGGGUCAGCUACAACUUUGCUUGUGAGGAAGUUUACUGCUUUAUAGAAAUAUGAGAAAAAUUAUAUCAUUAACUCAUCGUACCAGGCUUCAGUGCAUAGAAGUUUUUUGUAAAUUCACAGUUCAAUAAACAUACUUUAUUGUGUUUGCAUUAGGAAGUUUUGAUGUUUUAUUUUACCUCCUGGAUCUCUAUCAGAAGGAAAUGGGAUGCAUAAGAAAGUAACCUCACCGUUUUUGGUUUCUUUACACCAUACAGUAUUUGCUGUUCCUAUAGAGGUUGGAGAAUAAAUAGCUAAAAGACAGGUAAAAUCUCUGCAGCUUGUGUACAACACGGCACAGAGCCAGAUCCACUACAACAAAUCACCCAACUACUGUAGGAGGUGUACAAUACCCAGGAAGAAAUAGUCUACGAAGCAAAACCGUCUCCUGCAAGUAUGCAAGCUAUCUCAGACUACAUGUGAAAGCCAAAACCACAGCAAAUGAAGAGUUGAAAGUUACACAACUGAUCUUACAGCUUCACAGACAUAUUUUGAUCUAUUUCCUUGAAAAAAUAUUCAAACUUUUAAUUUAGAUUUUUGUUCGAUUUUUAUUCAAUGAAAACAUGUUAUCAUCUGCAGUUGUUCAGCUUUCCCUGAAGGUCCAAAAUGUGUCCAUAAAGCCAAAGUACAUAUCAAACUGUGUUGCAGCGCACCCCUAAUGUUUGUCUACUGGCAAUUCAUCUGCAGUCGGCACAAACCCCUGAAUGUGCUCGCCAGGUUUACAUGCCCACAGGAAGACUUUGAGAAGCUGCGCCACAGAGUUAAUGCUGAAUCAACAACAGCUAAAGUAUAACUUCAGGCCUCCUGAAUUGCUAAUCAUGAAGUCGUAACAAGACCUCAGUUUGAUCUUUGAGAGCCUUAAAGGAGCCCACAGCGUCCCCUGGUGCGUUCAUUUCUAUUAAACCACAUCUCUAUGUUCUCCAUUUGCACUGAAGUCAAGGAGAAGUCACAGAGGGGGUUUAGACCAUCACCCACGUCUCCUUUGAUCUAAAUUUCCCUAUUUGGUAGUUUCAGCACUGUGUGUGCCAAAGUGCAUUGUGUACCAAAUAUGCUGUGUUUCUUGGAAAAAUAACAGUGACACCAAAAGUCUGCAGUAGGGAGAGGUUAAAAAGCAAUCAAGUCUUUAUGACUUUGAUUUGAUUUGACCACAGGAGAACAACGACUUCUAUCCUUAUGAUAACCUCAUUAAGUAAGGCUGACUUUUAUGUCUGUCAACGUAAUUAUACAGCACAAUGCCUUUCUUUUCAUGUCAGUCUUUAUUUAAAGUAGAAUUAUGCAUGUGCAAUUAAGGAAAAACUUCUAAGAGUUAAAAUUUUUAUUCCAAAUUAGUUAGAGUCCCACAGCCCCCCAACACAGCUGCUGUGACCCAAUACUAUCAUGUACACAGAAUUAUUUUUCAGGCUUUUUGUACUGUCCCAUGUGGCCAUAUAAUUCAUGCAUUUGCCCAAAAAGAUAAUGAAUCAAUUUACCAUUGAAAGAAAUCCAGAAUUUUUUAAGUGAGAUUAACAGUAAAGUUAGUUAUUUAGACUUUUUUUCAAGCGUUGAGGCUCAAAACGCAAUAUUCAGCACACUGCUCAGUUUUAAGAUGGAACUGUGUUUAAUGUACUAUAUUGCUGUUGAAAUAUGGCGUUCAUGCGGCCUAUUUAACAGACUAUUAGUCAUAUAAGUGAAAUUAGGCUCCUGAGCUUGCAUUCUCACAAAAGCUACCAUUCAUCUGGUGUUCAGCCUACUCUUUAUCAUAUCUCAUAGGUCGCUGACCUCACUUUGCUUUAAGCAAAAACAAACUUUCUCUGCAAAGAUAUACGAGCCCAGACCCAGUCUGUGCUCUAAGGUGAAGAGCACAAUGUGUCUUUGCAGAAGGCUAUUUUGAGAUCACUUUGCUCUUGUAAAUGUUCAGUUGCCUGCUGCUGUAUUUUGUCUGUGAGAUUUAUUCCUGAGCUUUGGCUUGUGUGUGUGUGAACAAUCAAUAGGAACAUAACCUGUUUAAAGCAGGUUGGCGGGGUCACACUGGAGGGCUACUGACACCGAGUACCAGUUUUUUACUCACAAAGGAAAAAAGAGACACAUGAAAGACAAUUCAAAAUGUAAAUUCCUCACUUUUGACACUGAGCUUCGAGAAAAAUACUAUAUCACGAAUCGAUACACAGGUUGAGUGGAUUUUUUGUUUGCUUUAAUCCCUGGUGAACUUGAAGACAGCGGUUUAGGUCAGGGUUCAUCUGAAUAUAAUUCAACAUGUAAAUCAGUGUUUUACAAAGGAAAGAAAAUAAACAUCACAUGUAUUUAGGACAGCACUAAGCCUGUUGUUGUUGUUGUUUUCCUUUUCAAGGUCAGACUCCUUUUCUUUUUUUCCUUCAUUGUGUGCUGCAAGGAAUCUGUAUGAACCACAGAGCUGACCCUCUGCCACUCACCUGCCUCCCUCCCGUUAGUAGAGCUACUGCUGAGGCCUCCAGACAAGGUCAGACAUCUUUUUAUUUUCAUUAUUAUGUCUGUAUCUCUUAAGUACGAAAGAGGAUAAGGGCAACAAGGAGAAAAAAAAAUACAGAAGGAAGAUUUUUUUAUUUCCAUUUUAAUAUUAAAGUUGAACUUUUGAGAUUAAAGUUGAAUUUUUAAAAGUUGAAAUGAAAGUAAUCCAAAUUUCUAGAUUAAGGUCAAAACCUGAGAUUUAAAAAAUCGAAAUUAUGUGAAUAAAGUUGAAAUUUCAGGAUUUUAAUCACACAAUUACAACAUUAUUCAUGAUAUUUCUUUAUCUCGAAAUCUCAACUGUAAUCUCGAAAUUUCAAAUUUUAAUCUUGAAAUUUCGACCUUAAUCUCCUUCCUGUCAUUUUUUUUCUACUUUUCAUGUGGCCCUGAUUCUCUUUAGUACUUAUGUGAACAGAUACACUGAUUUUGUCUUUUGUUAAAUUAUACUCCAUGUUUUGAGCAGAUGCACAGGCUAUUCUGGCUGACCACACUCACCUCCUAAAUGCAGAGUACAAGCUGCUUCCAUCUGGUUACACGUACACUCCGCUUAGGUGUAGUUGUGUCACAGCAGAUUUGAACUUGCUUGAUUAACGUGCACUGAAACCCCUGAGAGUUUUGUGUUUACUUGCUUAAUUUGUGCUAAUGACUCACUUUCUAUGCACAAUGUUUGCAUGCCAUAUCCCGUCUACGGGAGUGUCCCAACACAUGAACUAUUGCAAGAGAUGCCUUUUCAGCCUCUUUACAUUGGGCAUAGUUGAGGUUGACUACAUUGCAAGGAUUUGUUAUGUUUAAGGAUUAUACAGUUUGACUGUACAAUUACAGUCUAAGAAUUAAUCACAGUCUCACAAUGAUUAUGCAUAGAUCAAUUUCAUAACAGUACUAAUGAACAAAAAGUCUGUCUCUCCAUUUGGAAUUUUUUUUAUUUAUUUUUUUAUUUUAACAAAAAUAACACAACAUGACAUAAACCACCAAUAGACAGAACAGUGAUAAUCACAAAAACAGACAAACGAAGCUAAUUAAAAACAAUUAACACAAGCACACACCAAAAACAUCAUUACAACAUAAAAUAUACAGUGCAUCAGCAAAUUAAUUAAUAAAUGCUUCCCACCUUUCCAAAUACUGUCCAACAUCCCCUUUCAUAUGAGCAGUAUACCCCUCAAAAAAAUGGACGUUUAAUAAACAUCUUAAAUUGCUUGAUAUUCAAAGAAUUUGCACUGUCAGCUUCAAAAAUAAAUCUCUUUCCCAACAAAAUAAUUAAAUUAAUAAUAUAACUUCUUGUUUCUGUAACAUCUCCAAGCAUAACAGAAAAUAAGUCACAUGUAAAACACAUCUUCAUAGCAAUACACAUUCUUUGAACCUCCCAAAGACUGACUGUAAUUACCAAUCAUCCUCAUUCCCUUUGAUUAAAGGUAUGUGUCCUAUUAAUACUGUGGGUCAUAAGAGCUCCAGGAAAUUGGUGAACACACUGGACAAAAAUAGGCUGUUCCUCCACAAUUAUUUCUCUUAAGUGGCAUUAGCUGGACAGCACACAAGGUGUCCAAGAGAAAUUGAGAGAGAGGGAGGAGAUGUGCCAGACUUAACCAGAAUUACCGACCUAAUAAUAAAGUAUGAGCUAUAACAGAGCAAUGUAACUUGAAAAAUGGACUCAUAUAGAAUUACUGAAUUCAGGUAAAGAACCUUAUUAUGAGUCUGAACUGGACUCUUAGCCGGAAUGUAGCAUAUUUAGAGAAAAAUAGCUCUGUUGAUUAUUUAAUAAAAAAAUAUAACAAAUACAAUUGAUAAUAAAUAUAACAAAAAAAAAAAUACUGGUAGCUUUGUCUUAUUUUUCUUUUUGCUACUGUUCAUUGUAAUGGAUGGAUAAUUAUUUUAUGUAUUUUUAUUAAUAAUCUCUGUUCUUAGUCUGUUUCUUAAUUCCCUCCAAUGAACUUUUUACUUCUUUUACCCCUUUUACAUGGUAAAGAGCUCUUACUUAUUUUUUUUUUCAUUUUAUAUCAUCUUCUUGCCUUAGUCCGUCAGGUUUUACUCUUUCUUUUUACCAUUUUUAUCUUUUUAUCUCCAGUGUUUCCCUACACUAAGCUCUGUCCUCAUGCAUAGUCUCGGUGUCAAGCCAUAUCUUUUAAACAAUAUGCACCUGUGUGUGUGUGUGUCUUUGUGUGUGCGUGUAGGUCUAUGGGUGUGUGUGUAGGUGGGUGGGAGGGUUUAAUUGUUGUUUUUAGCCUUUGUGAGGCACUUUGAAUUACAUUCUUGUACGAAAAGUGCCAUAUAAAUAAAGUUGAAUUUGAAUUUGAAAACAUGUCAACAAAAGCUGAAAGUUUUAUCAAACGAAAGGAAACAGAGCGCAUGAUUUCUGUGUAGUAAAUAUGUGAGUAUGGCAGAUCAGAGAGGUCACAUGAUUCAGCAAACAUUAAUCCCAUGUUGUUUGCUCUGAAUCCCUAAAAAAUAAUGCUUUGUUGAUUGGUGUAAAAUUCCAGUAAAAAUGGUAAAAAUUUACAGUAAAAGGUCUGAAAUAUCAAAACUGCAAUUAAUGUUGAAAUGUGAAUAUUAUGUGUUUUCUCUAAAAUUGUGUAAUUCAGUUUGUGUGUGUGUGUGUGUGUGUGUGUGUGUGUGUGUGUGUGUGUGUGUGUGUGUGUGUGUGUGUGUGUGUGUUGUAAAUUUUUCUAAAUAGUAUUUUUGAUCGUUUUUCACUUUUUGUAUAUAUUCUUGCACUGCACCUUGGAAGGCCGGCUGUGAAUAAAUACCACCAUCAAUGCAUUUUUGGACCAUGCCUGUGUUUUUCCACUGUAUUGUGAUUGUUCUGAGUGAGAACCCUGCGACAGUUCAAUAUUUUUGUGUUCCUGUAACGUCAAAGAUUGUCAGCAGUAAAUAAUAUAGCAAGUUUAGAGCACCAAUGAGUUUGCCCUUCUUGUACUGAAUAUACCAAGUAUCAAUUUUUCAAAUUGAUUGUUAAGAUGAAGUCAAAGCUAUGAUAAUGGAAAAAUAAAAUCAACUGUUUGUCCAGUGAGGUUGGCAAAUGUGACAUCAUAGAGCAGGAGAAAGUUAGUACAACAAUACGGCAGCAGGAAAGACAUUAGGAAUACAAGCAGGGCACAAACCAGAUGGACCUGCAAGAUGUGCUACAUGAAAAUAAAAUAUUGUGUAAAUAAGACAAACAUAAAGAAAAGACAGAUGCUAAAUAAGCUAAACAGUUGAAAAAAUGUAUAGAUCACAAUAUAUUGUAUCGCAAUACUCACUGUAUUGUAAAAUGUUGAAAAUCCCAAUAAUAUCUUAUGGCCCAAGUAGCGUGAUAAUAUCCUAUCGUGGGGCCACUACUGACUUCCACCCCUAGAAUAUACAGUAUUCUAGUUCAGUUUUGUCAACAUGAAGUGUCAGGCUGUUACAAAAAUACUCAAAUGCACAAUCACAGAAAAAGUAAGAUUUUUUUUAAUUAAGCAAUAUAUUUUACAAUGUGCUUUCUGAAUCUAAUAGGUCACUUACAGGGAAAAAAAAAAAAAAAACUCAUCUGAUCCGGAGAAAGCAUUGAGUGCAGUGUGAUGUGUGACCACUGUACUGGGGGAAAAAUGGUAAAAGCUCUCGUAGUGUAGAGAAUCUUGCCAGCAGAGUUUGGAGCGUUCUAAAAGUGCAUUAUAUCCACAGGAAGAGGCCCUGCUUAGACAUGAAAUUGACUCCUGCUGUUUGCAACUUCUUUCACUCAGCUGGAGUCCUUCAAUCUAAAGAGCCUGGGGUUUCCAGAGCCCUCUCCCUCGUUCUAGUGAUAAAAGUGGGUUGUAAACAAACAGCAGCGCUGCCCCGAGAAUACUGACGCCAGCAAAAAUGCUGAAUUUCUUCAUAAAAGCAACUAUUUGCAUCACAGUCUCAAGUUAAUACAUCAGGAUAGCAUACAACCCAUUUUUUUUUUAUUUCAUAACUGAACAACACACUUCAUCAACAGCUGAGGUCUGUAUGUCUCAUAAUUUGUCUAAAGCUAUUAGCAUUUAGCCAAAUUUACUCUCCAAAUGCCUCGGCUGCUGAUGAAAACGCACAAUCAAAAAUCACAGUGAUCACUUUGAUAUUAUAAGUGCUUGUGUUUCUGCAUGGUUUAAUGAAUUAUUCAUCAUGAAGCUUUGCUUUUGAUUCAGAUUAGCAUCAAUAAGUGAAAGUGCAAAGAUGGUCAUUUUGCCAGUAUACCUUUUAGUAACCAUGUAAACAAAUAACUGCACAGAUUUAUUUCACAAACACUUUCUAUGAGAAAUAACUUACUGAAAAACCUAUUAAGAGAGGAUGCACUUUAGGAGCCCACGGUGCCAUUACAGAAAUUAAUGUGAGAAAAUGAUUCACUAAAACGAGCAUUUACCCUCGAGUACAACAGGCUGUUAAAAGAGAAAUAUAGCGGCUGUUUCUCAGAACUGAGCUUAAGAUGGUUUUCAGCCUUUGCCAGAUAGAUGCAACAUACGUGGUGUUACUUAUUCCAAUGGAUUUAUGCAUCUCUUUGUUUUGAUGAAAGUCUUUGCAUUGUCAUCUCAAAGUGGUCAUGAUUUGUUCUUAUGGUUAAAAAAAAAGUUUUUCUUUAGUCUCAACAUAACCGCUUAACUCAUUCAGACGUUGUCAAGCUGCAGAGAAGGACAGCACUUUUUCACUGGUCUGUCAAGUGCAUGUUGCUUUUAACAUGUAGCUUAAAAAUAGGGUUUUAAGCACAUCACUAUUCAUGAUUCUACCAAAGAAACAAUUUUGUCGGAGCAUUUUCAACUGUCAUUGUUUUCAUUUUGCAUUUUUGCAAGCAGAUCUCACUAAUUCAAUUUAUCAGUUUGUUUACCCUAAAAAAGGCAUCACAAUCCAACAUCAAGUACAGGCGUAACUGCAACACCCACUGACAUCUAAGGGUUACACUAAAUACAUGACAUUUCAACAGUUUUAUUGCUGAGUUAAGCUGCACUUUUUCGAGUUUUGCUUUGUGCAUUUAUUUAUAUUGAUUUUUGAAAGCUCAGCUGCUUCUUCUUUUUUGUCAUCAAAAGGCACAAUAAGUCUGUCACUGUCAGCUAAGGAUACAAAACUCUGACUAGAAAAGUAAAGAUGUGGAUGUAGGAAUGAAGAAGAUUCAUUGAUGCAGCUGUUGUGUGACAACUCCGGAUAUAUAAUGAGAAAAUAUACAGGGUUGCUUUUGUGCUUUGGUGUGUGUGUUUGAAGGUGAAAGUACAACUACAAAUAAAACUCACCUGUCCAUUUCAUUACAGACACUGAAUAACUCUUUCUCCCUGGAAACAUAAUUCAGAGGAUAAGUACUUUCAUGCACUGGCUUAAAUGCAGUGCUUUAACUGAAAAUAAACAGAUGAAAAUCUGUUUGAGGACUGUUGGUCAACCACCCAUCAAAUGCACUGACCUGCUUGUAGAACCACUCUGCUACAAAGCUGAUAGAAACAUCUUUAAAAACUUAAGCAUUGAAAUUAAGAAAGAGAGAUUUUCAAUAAUUAUUUAUACACAAAUAAUCAAAUAAAUAAAAAGAAAUAGCUGUAUUGCAGCAAACAAAACAACAGCAUUUAACAGUUUUAAGUUGUUUUAUUUACUGACCACCAUCAAGAACAAAAACUGCAACAGCAAAGUAAAUCGAAUACAAAAAGAGAAGAAGGGAAAAAAAAAAAAACAUCUCACAGUUGGGAGCCAGCUCCCAUUGUUCACAUUAAAGAGAUGGCUUUUUGAACUUGUUCCUUCACAACUGACACAUCACUAUUCAUCGAAAGAACUGUGAGUUACCAGCUCAGAUUUUGUUCCUGUUGUUCUGUUUGUUUUGCUUCAUAGUUCUUGUAUUUUUCUGAUAAUUCAUGCAACUGUAUAUGAAACAUCAGCCACAUGGUUGAACAAAGUCAUGUCGUCACAGUCCUUUAUAUCAGCAUGCUAAUUAUUCCGCCUUCCCAUGGGAGAAAAAAAACCCACUUAGGAUUUACUUUGUUUCACAACUGUGAGUCAUUAUUAUUUUGGCAUUCAAGGUUUUAGUUAAACCUUAAAUGCAGUUAGUCAUAAAGCACAUGCCAUUUUCAUGGAGUAAUUAGGAUGCAUAAUGUAUUAUGUUGAAUACACACCCAGUGGUCUCUUAAUGUCUCACCAUGUUGAAUUUAAAAGAAAAAAUUGACAUGAACUUUCCUCAGCGUGUAUAGGGAGCAUUAUGUGCCUGUAACAGACAUUGACUGGAGCUGUUAGGCAGAAGCAGCUGUGUUUUAUAAUGCAGUUUGCAUUCUCUGUUCCCCAUUAAACCCAUUCCUCGGGACAGACUCGAACUUGUGACCCCUCUAUUAGCCUUCAUGCACCCGCCCUGGUGAUUAGAGGAACAUUAGGAAAUUAAAGGCAAAUUGCAUUACCAGAGAAACAGACGGAGGUGCUGCUGAGGACCCAACAUGCACAGAACCUGCUGAUGCUCAGACUUUCCAUCCCUUUCAUCGGCCAAUGUGUGGUGCUUAAUGUCACCCUGCAGGUAGCAAUUUCUCAGGUGGUACAUUCUGAUAAAGGAAAAGACAGAGUGAGUGUUUUAAUCUCAAAGCUGGGUUAUGUGUUAGGGAAGACUGUAAAGUUAUUUUAGCCCUCAAAGUACUCAGGCAUAUUAAUAAGAUGCAAAUCACUUCACAACAUGCAGAAACUGUGUUAACACAUACUCAGGGGUUCUGAGGAAAUAUGUCCCUCAUCUGUAACUAUUUUGAGCAGAUAAAAUGUGAUGAUGCAGCCAGAGAAAAAGAUAAAUUGAUCCCCAGCAGAAUUUAUGUUUCUCUCAGUGGGGCAGUAUGCUGUAAGCACUUCACCAACACACUGCUGUAUAUGUAGCACUGUGUGUCAGCAGCACUAGUGGCAAAAAAGAGAAAUGUUGCAAUCACCAGACAUUUGGUGGCCAAACCUUCAUGGUUUUCAGUGAAAAAAAAAGUGGGCUUCAUCCUAUAUACCAGUGCAAGCAAUAUCCUAGCAUGAAAUGCAGGGAUGUAUUUGAUCAAAAUAGUGUUUGAAUUAAGCUUAAGCCUCAACACAGACGAAUGCAGUAACUAAUGCUAGCACAGCCACCAUCACAGCUCACUGCACUUAACCUGAUGGGACUGAAAAUUUGAAUGGAAGAGGCCUUUGCAGCUGUGGUGGUGCUACUUUUUGACAGCUUUUCUCCUUAAUUAGGUUGUAAUUAUGCAUUUCAAGAAAACAGAGGAAUAAAAUUGCAGAGAACACCCGGUGGAGUGCUUGAAAAAAAUCCUUAUCAGUGCAGUCAAAUGACGAGUGGGGGAGGGUAGCAGGUCAGCGUAAACUGGUUUGCAGGCAGUGCAUCACAGCUAAGGUUAUGAAAUCACAGACUAAAGAAAUGAAGGUUACGAAGACGUGCUGCAGAAAAAAUAACUUCCUGUGCCAUGGGUGCCUUGAGCUACUCAGACCAGUAUUCUUUAUUAUUGUGAGAUAGGGCAAAUUUUGGAAUUUUUGCAUUUAACUCUAUAAAAAUGGCCAGAGUCUUUAGUAAAAAAUGACACAAAAGGAUCUUAAUGAGUUUUAUGAGGUGUCAAAGGUUGAUCCUGAUCCAGACAAAAUUCCAGAUACUGUGAUCCAGAACACACAAAAAUAAGGGUGUCGUUGGAAUUUUCAAUGCUGAAAGAUAACCAAUGGGUGGCACAGUGGCGUAGAUGGGUGGCACAGUGGUGUAGUGGUUAGCACUGUCGCCUCACAGCAAGAAGGUCCUGGGUUCGAAUCCGGGUCAGGGCAUUUCU